rnacentral:rRNA from 1 species
UAGCGAAGAGGUCACACCCGUUCCCAUGCCGAACACGGAAGUUAAGCUCUUCAGCGCCGAUGGUAGUCGGGGGUUUCCCCCUGUGAGAGUAGGACGCCGCCAAGC